rnacentral:rRNA from 1 species
AGAGUUUGAUCCUGGCUCAGGAUGAACGCUAGCGGCAGGCCUAACACAUGCAAGUCGAACGGUAACAGUCUCUUCGGAGAGCUGACGAGUGGCGCACGGGUGUGUAACGCGUAUGCAACCUACCUCUAACUGGAGAAUAGCCCGGGGAAACUCGGAUUAAUACUCCAUAGUAUCAAGAUUUCUCCUGAUAUCUUGAUUAAAGUUCUGGCGGUUAGAGAUGGGCAUGCGUCCUAUUAGUUAGUUGGCGAGGUAACGGCUCACCAAGACAGCGAUAGGUAGGGGGUCUGAGAGGAUGAUCCCCCACACUGGUACUGAGACACGGACCAGACUCCUACGGGAGGCAGCAGUGAGGAAUAUUGGGCAAUGGACGAAAGUCUGACCCAGCCAUGCCGCGUGCAGGAUGACGGCCCUAUGGGUUGUAAACUGCUUUUAUAUGGGAAGAAACCCCUCUACGUGUAGAGGGCUGACGGUACCAUACGAAUAAGCAUCGGCUAACUCCGUGCCAGCAGCCGCGGUAAUACGGAGGAUGCAAGCGUUAUCCGGAUUUAUUGGGUUUAAAGGGUCCGUAGGCGGGCUUUUAAGUCAGUGGUGAAAGCCUACAGCUUAACUGUAGAAUUGCCGUUGAUACUGGAAGUCUUGAGUAUAGUUGAAGUGGGCGGAAUACGUCAUGUAGCGGUGUAAUGCAUAGAUAUGACGUAGAACACCUAUUGCGAAGGCAGCUCACUAAGCUAAAACUGACGCUGAGGGACGAAAGCGUGGGGAGCAAACAGGAUUAGAUACCCUGGUAGUCCACGCUGUAAACUAUGAUCACUCGCUGUUAGCGAUACACAGUUAGCGGCUAAGCGAAAGCGUUAAGUGAUCCACCUGGGGAGUACGUUCGCAAGAAUGAAACUCAAAGGAAUUGACGGGGGCCCGCACAAGCGGUGGAGCAUGUGGUUUAAUUCGAUAUACGCGAAGAACCUUACCUAGCCUUGACAUAUAUUAGAACACCCUAGAGAUAGAGUGGUGCCUUCGGGAGCUUUUAUACAGGUGCUGCACGGCUGUCGUCAGCUCGUGUCGUGAGAUGUUGGGUUAAGUCCCGCAACGAGCGCAACCCUCGUCACUAGUUACUAACGGUUCGGCCGAGGACUCUAGUGAGACUGCCUUCGUAAGGAGGAGGAAGGUGAGGACGACGUCAAGUCAUCAUGGCCCUUACGGCUAGGGCAACACACGUGCUACAAUGGCCAGGACAGUGAGACGCGAUACCGAGAGGUGGAGCAAAUCUAUAAACCUGGCCUCAGUUCGGAUUGUAGUCUGCAACUCGACUACAUGAAGCUGGAAUCACUAGUAAUCGUAGAUCAGCUAUGCUACGGUGAAUACGUUCCCGGGUCUUGUACUCACCGCCCGUCACACCAUGGGAGU